rnacentral:rRNA from 1 species
UACCAGCACCCCGAGUGGUCGGGACGAUUAUUGGGCGUAAAGCGCACGUAGGCGGCUUUCUAAGUCGGGGGUGAAAUCCUGGAGCUCAACUCCAGAACUGCCUUCGAUACUGGAGAGCUUGAGUCCGGGAGAGGUGAGUGGAACUGCGAGUGUAGAGGUGAAAUUCGUAGAUAUUCGCAAGAACACCAGUGGCGAAGGCGGCUCACUGGCCCGGUACUGACGCUGAGGUGCGAAAGCGUGGGGAGCAAACAGG